UAAUUGAAGAGUUUGAUCAUGGCUCAGAUUGAACGCUGGCGGCAGGCCUAACACAUGCAAGUCGGGCGGUAACAGGGAGAAGCUUGCUUCUCUGCUGACGAGCGGCGGACGGGUGAGUAAUGUAUGGGGAUCUGCCUGAUGGCGGGGGAUAACUACUGGAAACGGUAGCUAAUACCGCAUAAUGUCUACGGACCAAAGCGGGGGACCUCCGGGCCUCGCGCCAUCAGAUGAACCCAUAUGGGAUUAGCUUGUAGGUAAGGUAACGGCUUACCUAGGCGACGAUCCCUAGCUGGUCUGAG
rnacentral:rRNA from 1 species